rnacentral:rRNA from 1 species
UACAGAGGUCCCAAGCGUUGUUCGGAUUCAUUGGGCGUAAAGGGUGCGUAGGCGGCGCGGUAAGUCGGGUGUGAAAUCUCGGAGCUUAACUCCGAAACUGCAUUCGAUACUGCCGUGCUUGAGGACUGGAGAGGAGACUGGAAUUUAGGGUGUAGCGGUGAAAUGCGUAGAUAUCGUAAGGAAGACCAGUGGCGAAGGCGGGUCUCUGGACAGACAUUGACGCUGAGGUGCGAAAGCGUGGGGAGCAAACAGG